rnacentral:lncRNA from 1 species
CCAUCAAUCCAAAAUUACACAAGAUUGAGCAGGUGUACUGAGUCUAUUUGUCCAACAUGGUCCUAGCAAACAUUAGCUGAAGUUUAAAUACCGUGCGUGCUUUGGAAGAUUUGUGGACAUGAAUUAAAUUUAUCGUGCAGUAGUGAUAAGUGUGUUUUUACAAACUUAUUUAGAUCACAAACAUGACUUAAUUACGAGUAAAAUAUUUAAAUUAUGAUUUAAUCUCGUUGAAUUCAUGCAAUGUAGGUGUUUCUAUGGAAUUGGUUGAAUUCAGGAGAAAAGAGCCGAAAAAGAACUAACAUGAAUCAAUCUGAAAGUUCGGGGACCAAGUUGCAAAUAAUCCAUAGAUGAGACGGGAAAUGGAAUGAAGAUUCAAGAGUAUUAGAAGUCAAUCGGAUGAGGAAAAGAGCUAAGAGGUGAAAUAUGGUCGAAGUAUUAUCAAGUAUCAACUUUCAGGCGAAAAAGUUAUGCUCGUGAUUUUUAGUCUCUAUUUGAGAUUCAUUUUUGGCAUAGUAAAAAUAGUAUUUGAGGAAUCCUAUUCCUAUCAAAAUGUAUAUCUUUGAGUUUUCUUUCCAAUGCACUUUGAAUCACUUCAAUCGGAGAUCGGGAGAGAAAGUUAUGAUAAAAAUACUAAAAGCUAUCCG